UCCCAAAACCUAGACAUUAUCAGCAUCCUAUCUUCAGCACCUAAAAAAACACGGAGAACCCCAAAAACCUAGAGAGGCAACGGACUCCCCUGCUCUUGAACAACAUCAGCCAUUCCCCACUCUCUCACAGAAGAAAAAGAGAGCUAACCUAAUUGACUAAAAAAUGGCUGAACAAAAGCUGGAGAUCUCCUUGUCAACCUAACAAUGAGAGAGCAGCCACCCCCAUGAAGAGAAACAUUCGCCACCCUCACUGAUCGCCCAACCCACCAGCCUUCACCAAACCUACGCAUCCGCCGACCCCAUCACCUCUCAAAAACCUUCAGCCCCAUCCCCUCAAAAGCGCUCUCUCUCUCUCUCUCUUUUGUUUUCUGUCUCAUUUGACCGCCGACGAGCUUAACCAGAAUACCGACGACGGCUACUACAUCCCCUUCUCCAAGAAUCGACCACCGCUGCUGCCGUCCCCGAAAUUUCUCCAAAAAAAAUCAGAUACCACCAUAAUCUCUAAGAGAAAUUAGCUGAAAUCUGCACGAAAGAUCCCGCCUAGAGUCAGCCAAAACAGUCACUAAAACCAGUCGCAAAAAAUAGCCACUAUCGAGUCGUUUGCGGUAAUAUUCUGUUCCGAUCGAGUCGAGUUCGUCGCCGUCGUUCGAGUCCCGGUCUUGGUUCGAGAUUUCCGUACAUUUAGCGCAAGUUUUCUGGCCAGUUGUUUUGGUCGUUGAUUCAAAGAUCUGGCCUUCAAUGGAGUUUCUUCAUGUUUAAAAUAAAGAAAGUUGCUAUUAAAAGGUGUGGAUCUACUUACCAGAGCCGGAGCAUGACAGACGCCCAAGGGCCGUUGCAUUCAUGAGUUGCUUAAGGAGACUUUUUUUUUAUGUUUUGAGUCUGUUUUUCUUUUUGUGUCGUCUUUUACAUUCUAGUUUUGUACAGUAAUGUCGAGUCUUUUAGGUGAUGUUAGAGUCUGUCAUAGUCUAGUUAAGUUUGACGAGUCUUAUGUUAUUGUACUUCCUAUUUUGUAUUUGAAAAAAAUGUGUUAUAAAUAAAAAAUCCAAAAAAAGAGAUUUUGCGUUUUUA